AAAGAAAAUCAAGAUACGGAAGCAAAAGAUAGAUAAGAGGGGAGAUCAGGUCCUGUGGGCACCAGUAGCUACCUUGAUAAAUCCGAUACUGCGCUCAGGAACAGCAGAUAGUCACAGCAAAGCCUCCGGGAUCCAUGUGUCUGCACACAAGGUGCAGGGAGUGGAGUGCGUACUUCCAACUCAGUGAGUAAUAGCAAUAAAUAAC
rnacentral:lncRNA from 1 species